AAAUUGCUGUAAUCUGAGUAUGGACUAUCUUGAGAGUGAUAAUCCCUUAAGAGCUUCAGUAUUAGAGGGGCCUGCCACAUUCACGGCCUUUAUCUACAGUUAUCUCACCAGAUACUCACAGUGAAGAUGCCCUUGUAGCUCUGGCUGGGGCGGAGGAAGAGCAAUCCUUGUGAAUUACCUCCAGAGUAUGCUCUGUAAAACAGGUUUAUUUUUCCAGGAGAAAAGACACUAACAGCGUCUUCUAAUGUCCAUGAGGUAAAAGAACUGAUGGCUGGAGAGCAUUGAAACAGACAGAUGAAAAUUAAAGAAGAAAUAAAAAUAAAAUUAAAAAGGGAAAAACAA
rnacentral:lncRNA from 1 species